rnacentral:rRNA from 1 species
GACGUAGGGGGCGAGCGUUGUCCGGAUUUAUUGGGCGUAAAGCGUGCGUAGGCGGCUGCGCAAGUCGGGUGUGAAAUCCCGGGGCUCAACCCCGGAACUGCCUUUAAAACUGUUGGUCUGGAGGUCGAGAGAGGUGAGUGGAAUUCCGAGUGUAGAGGUGAAAUUCGUAGAUAUUCGGAGGAACACCAGUGGCGAAGGCGGCUCACUGGCUCGAUACUGACGCUGAGGUGCGAAAGCGUGGGGAGCAAACAGG